rnacentral:rRNA from 1 species
UCGAGAAUUUUUCGCAAUGGGCGCAAGCCUGACGGAGCGACGCCGUGUGUGCGAUGAAGGCCUUCGGGUUGUAAAGCACUUCGUUUGGGUAACAAGGGAGGUCGAUGAAUAAUCGGCCGACUUGAGGGUACCAGGAAAAGAAGCACCGGCUAACCACGUGCCAGCAGCUGCGGUAAUACGUGGGGUGCAAGCGUUAAUCGGAUUUACUGGGCGUAAAGGGUGCGUAGGUGGGGAAGAAAGUUAGGGGUGAAAUUCCGAGGCUCAACCUCGGAGCUGCCUUUAAUACUUCAUCUCUAGAGGAUAGGAAGGGAAGGGGGAAGUUCCGCAUGUAGCGGUGAAAUGCGUAGAUAUGCGGAGGAACACCGGUGGCGAAGGCGCCUUUCUGGCCUAUUCCUGACACUGAGGCACGAAAGCGAGGGGAGCAAACAGGAUUAGAUACCCUGGUAGUCCUCACCUUAAACGAUGCAUACUUGAUGUGGCUGGCUUCAACCCCAGCCGUGUCGUAGCUAAC